AUGUCCUAUAGAUUAUAUUUUAGGUCUAACCUGCCCGUUGAUUAUUUGAAAGGCCGCAGAAUUUUAACUGUGCAAAGGUAGCAUAAUCACUAGUCUUUUAAUUGAAGGCUUGUAUGAAUGGUUGAACGAGGUACAUGCUGUUUCAUGUUAAUAAGUUAUAGAAUUUUAUUUUUGAGUUAAAAAGCUUAAAUUUUUUUGAAAGACGAGAAGACCCUAUAGAUCUUAAUGAUUAUUUAGUUAUUAAUAAUUUAGAUUCUUUUGUUUUGAUAAUUAAUAUAUUAUUUUGUUGGGGUGACACAGAAAUUUAAUUAACUUUCUGUAUUUUUGUAACAUAAAUAUAUGGAAAAUUGAUCCUUUGUUUAAGAUUAAUAGAUUAAGUUACCUUAGGGAUAACAGCGUAAUUUUUUUAGAGAGUUCAUAUCGAUAAAAGAGUUUGCGACCUCGAUGUUGGAUUAAGGUAUAUUAUUGGGCGCAGCAGUUCAGUUAUAAAGUCUGUUCGACUUUUGAAUCCUUACAU
rnacentral:rRNA from 1 species